rnacentral:rRNA from 1 species
CGUGAGUAACCUGCCCUUGACUCUGGGAUAAGCCUGGGAAACUGGGUCUAAUACCGGAUAUGACCAUUCCACGCAUGUGGUGGUGGUGGAAAGCUUUUGCGGUUUUGGAUGGACUCGCGGCCUAUCAGCUUGUUGGUGGGGUAAUGGCCUACCAAGGCGACGACGGGUAGCCGGCCUGAGAGGGUGACCGGCCACACUGGGACUGAGACACGGCCCAGACUCCUACGGGAGGCAGCAGUGGGGAAUAUUGCACAAUGGGCGGAAGCCUGAUGCAGCGACGCCGCGUGAGGGAUGACGGCCUUCGGGUUGUAAACCUCUUUCAGUAGGGAAGAAGCGUAAGUGACGGUACCUGCAGAAGAAGCGCCGGCUAACUACGUGCCAGCAGCCGCGGUAAUACGUAGGGCGCAAGCGUUAUCCGGAAUUAUUGGGCGUAAAGAGCUCGUAGGCGGUUUGUCGCGUCUGCUGUGAAAGACCGGGGCUCAACUCCGGUUCUGCAGUGGGUACGGGCAGACUAGAGUGCAGUAGGGGAGACUGGAAUUCCUGGUGUAGCGGUGAAAUGCGCAGAUAUCAGGAGGAACACCGAUGGCGAAGGCAGGUCUCUGGGCUGUAACUGACGCUGAGGAGCGAAAGCAUGGGGAGCGAACAGGAUUAGAUACCCUGGUAGUCCAUGCCGUAAACGUUGGGCACUAGGUGUGGGGGACAUUCCACGUUUUCCGCGCCGUAGCUAACGCAUUAAGUGCCCCGCCUGGGGAGUACGGCCGCAAGGCUAAAACUCAAAGGAAUUGACGGGGGCCCGCACAAGCGGCGGAGCAUGCGGAUUAAUUCGAUGCAACGCGAAGAACCUUACCAAGGCUUGACAUGGACUGGAAAGAUCUGGAGACAGGUCCCCCGCUUGCGGUCGGUUCACAGGUGGUGCAUGGUUGUCGUCAGCUCGUGUCGUGAGAUGUUGGGUUAAGUCCCGCAACGAGCGCAACCCUCGUUCUAUGUUGCCAGCGCGUUAUGGCGGGGACUCAUAGGAGACUGCCGGGGUCAACUCGGAGGAAGGUGGGGACGACGUCAAAUCAUCAUGCCCCUUAUGUCUUGGGCUUCACGCAUGCUACAAUGGCCGGUACAAAGGGUUGCGAUACUGUGAGGUGGAGCUAAUCCCAAAAAGCCGGUCUCAGUUCGGAUUGGGGUCUGCAACUCGACCCCA